GAAGACCUGAGGUAUCAGGGGUAGGGGUUGCUCUGCUUGUGUAAGUCCCAUAGUGUGAAGGCCAGAGAACCAAGAGAUGGUCAAGAAGAGAGAGUAAGUGUCCAAUGUCCCAGCUCAAGAAGAGAGACAAGACCAACCCCGCCUCUUCCUUCUCCUUCUCGACCUACUCAAAGUAAAGAUGAGGAUGAAGACCCUUAAGAUGAUCCACUCCCACUUAAUGAAUAAAACUUUUGUGGAUAGCUAAGUUACUGCUAGCCAUCUGAUUAUAGCAAUGGCUUCCAGGAGCAUCACGACCUGUGCAGACUCCCCAGCAUCAUAACAGGAAGGUCCCACGAUCACGAGCACAUUGCCUUCAGCAUCCAGCACUGAAUAUGGUGAAUUGCACUCUGAAGAGCUUCCUAAGCUUGUAAGAAAGUGAUUCUGAAAAGCUCAACAUUUUGGUAGAAUGGAGAGAUUUGACAUUGCUUCUGCUCCAAAAGCAAAAGACUUGGGAUUAGAUGACUGCUGAAGGACCAUCUAAGUUCCAGAGCUCGGUGUGGAAUCAUCUGGAGCCUCUGUUGUGACUACAUUGCAGAUCAAUCUCCCCUCUGCCCAAUCCUACUUCCUUCAUGAUCCCACAUGUAGAUCCAGGCACUCCCCCAAUAAACUUCCUGCAUGAAAA
ensembl:lncRNA LINC01584 long intergenic non-protein coding RNA 1584